rnacentral:rRNA from 1 species
UACGGAGGGUGCAAGCGUUAUCCGGAUUCACUGGGUUUAAAGGGUGUGUAGGCGGGCUGUUAAGUCAGUGGUGAAAUCUCCGGGCUCAACCCGGAAACUGCCAUUGAUACUAUCAGUCUUGAAUCUUGUUGAGGUAGGCGGAAUAUAUCAUGUAGCGGUGAAAUGCUUAGAUAUGAUACAGAACACCGAUUGCGAAGGCAGCUUACUAAACAAGCAUUGACGCUGAGGCACGAAAGCGUGGGGAUCAAACAGG